GUCACUAGUGAUCUGGGAUCUCGGCAGUUGGUAAGAGGAAGAAGAUGUUGUAUUUGGGAUAUUAAUAUCCAGUAGAUGACAGCGAAGAAGGGACAAAGAAUAUCAAGAGAAUGAAGCAAAUUAGAAAAUAGAAGUCAUGGGCAACAGAGAAAAACAAUCAUCUUGGAGGUGUGAAAUGCUCAGAGUAAAAAAUAAGAAACAACAAAACCACAAUGAAAAACUAAUAAACCAUGAGAUAUAGCAACUCUACUUCUACAAUAAA